rnacentral:rRNA from 1 species
GACGGGGCCCGCACAAGCGGUGGAGUAUGUGGUUAAUUCGACGCAACGCGAAGAACCUUACCAGGGCUUGACAUCCCCUGACCGCGUAUGAAAGUACGUUUUCACCUUCGGGUGACAGGGAGACAGGUGGUGCAUGGUUGUCGUCAGCUCGUGUCGUGAGAUGUUGGGUUAAGUCCCGCAACGAGCGCAACCCCUACGUUUAGUUGCUAACGCGUGAAGGCGAGCACUCUAGACGAACUGCCGUUGACAAAACGGAGGAAGGUGGGAUGACGUCAAAUCAUCAUGCCCCUUAUGUUCUGGGCUACACACGUGCUACAAUGGCCGGUACAGACGGACGCAAAGCCGCGAGGUGGAGCAAAUCCUAAAAAGCCGGUCUCAGUUCGGAUUGCAGGCUGCAAUUCGCCUGCAUGAAGUCGGAAUCGCUAGUAAUCGCAGGUCAGCAUACUGCGGUGAAUACGUUCCCGGGCCUU